GAGCAGCACCUGCAGCGCAACGUCCUGGAGCGGUUGCUACACCGCGGCCGUUAGCGCUGUUGGGCCAACCGGAGAUGCUGUCGUCAAGCACAUCUGCUUUGGGGCUGGAACUACCACUGUAUUUGGCCUCUUAAAAAAAUAAUUUGUGACAAAUCUGCAAAAAGAAAUACACUUACCCUAGAAGGAUAUCUGGUGUAUGGCCAGAUAAUGACAGAUUAAGAGAACUGAAGAUAGCUAUAAUCAACUUACAUAUCACCAAGUCAACUCUUCUGUUGAAGAUUUGCAGUGAGAAAAGAAAGUGCUAAUAAGCAUAUUAUCUCAACCUAAAAGAAAAGUCCUAAGACGGCUUCAGCUGUUCCGCUAGUGACACCAAAAUGGCCACAGGAAGGGAGAAGAAAGAAAAGUUUGAAUGAAGUAUGAUUCCAUUAUGAUGCUAUUGAGCACAUCUGUAAUGUGAGCAUUCACAAUCCCUCCGUGAUAAGAUGGCCCUUUUUUCCCCUGAACUGUCGAAGACUGAGAUCUGUUGCCUGGUUUAAAACAACCUAUAAUAUGAGCUUAGAAAGCAGACAUGAGGCCUGGAGAUGCAAUAGCCAGUUGGUGACGUGAGGGGACAAGCAUGAGAACAAAAGUUCAUAAGCUAAGGAAGGUUGAGAAGGAAGAUUGAGAGUCUUGCUCCUUGUCAGCAUUUCUCAGCAGCUGUACUAAUGCUGGACACUCAGCUCUGGAUUUCUUAUUUUGUAAGAAAAAGAAAACUCUUUUUUAUUAACACUAUUACUCACUGUUGCAGACAGGUAUCUUGUUAUCUUGUUACUUGCAACCAAAAGCACUUUUGUUUGUUUGUUUGUUUGUUUUGUUUUGGUUUUUUUUUUUGAUUUUUAGGGCCACACCUGCAGCAUAUGGAAGUUCCCAGGCUAGGGGUCAAAUCAGAGCUGCAGUUGUCUGCCUAUGCCACAGCCACAGCAACGCUGGAUCCAGGCUAAGACUUCGACCUACACCACAGCUCAUGGCAAGGCUGAAUCCCCAACCCAUUGAGCGAGGCCAGGGAUCAAACCCUCAUCCUAAUGGAUCUUAGGUUCAUUAACUGCUGAGCCAUGAAGGGAACUCCUCAAAGCACUUUUAACAAGCCAAUUAUAAGACUUUUAUAUUUUAAAAUUAUCUAAAUAUAUCAGUGUUAUAGUGGAUUUAUUUUACUGUCCAGGGGCAGCUGCUUAUACACAGAAAGCACCAUUUAUAGUUAAUCUGAGUUUAUGGAGUUUUCUUGUGACUCAUCCUGUUAAGGAUCCAAUGAGCUUCUGCAUAUAUAUGUAUGUGUAUAUAUAUAUAGUUAAUCUAGAUUUAAAUUGUUAUAACUUUAUUGAAGAUGUAAAUUUUCCACAAGCCUUGAAGUUUAAUUUUAAAAAUUUUAUCUUCUGGGAACCCUCCUGCACUGUUGGUGGGAGUGUAAAUGGGUACAACAACAAUGGAAAACAGUAUGGAGAUUCCUCAGAAAACCAAAUAUAGAACUACUAUAUUAUCCCAUAAUCCCAUUCCUGGGCAUAUAUCCAGACGAAACUUUCUUUCGAAAAGAUACAUGCACCCCUUGUAUGUACCUUGCAGCACCAUUCACAGUAGCCCAGACAUUAGGUUGCAUCCAUGUCUUGGCUAUUGCAUAUAAUGCUGCUAUGAACAUUGUGGUGCAUGUAUCUUCUCAAAUUAUUGUUUUCUUGGGACAUAUGCCCAGGAGUAGGACUGCUAUUUUUGUUUUUUUAAGGAACCUCCAUACUGUUCUCUGUAGUGGCUGCAAUAAUUUAUAUCCCCACCAACAAUGUAGGGGGGCUCCCUUUUCUCCACAUCCUCUCCAGAAUUUAUUUGUAGUCUUUUUGAUGAUGGCCAUUCUGACUAGUAUGAGGUGAUACCCUAGCAUUGUGAUGCUUUAAACCAGAUUGGACAUUUAGCUAGUCAUCACUACCAACAACUAACCAGUAAGUGGGAAAUGAAGAGAAAACCAGAUUGGCUAUGGACAAAAUAAUAGGAAAGUCACUUUCUCUGCACAACAAAGGUAAAGCAGGCAAUUCUGAAUCAGAAGCACACAAAAAAAGCAGAGUAGAAAAUACAAAUAUUAACUGGUUAUAUGUAGCCUGCCAGUGGAAGGCACUGAACCCAUGGGACUUUAGAAAUCUGGUUAUCAGAGAUAACUUCCACGUAUGAAGCAAGUACAUUUUGGAGGGCCUGGCCCCAACCCAAACUCUCCAGCUCUCUGCUCCAAUCCUUGCUUAUCAAAUGGCCUUUGAUUAUUAAUUCAUCAUCACUAGUUCUUCAAUAUUAGAGACUGGCAGUGGAAAAGAAAGGAAAUAGAAUGGGCUUUUAUACAUCAUUCUUUUAAGAGUGUAUCUAGAAUUAGAUCCUGGGGCUCUAACAAGACUGAGUUUCUUGCCUGAAAGCUGUGGACCGGACCCUGGUCUCAUGGGUGAAUCCAAUCCUGGUGCUCACUUAGCCAGGUUUCUCCAAGUGACACCAUUAUUUCCCUGUCCUGCCCCUUCUAUCAAUGUCAUGUCACACCACAGACUCCACUUGAGUUGAAUAAGAACCUACAUGGAAGCAGAACACAGUCUGGCCAGAUGCAUGCAUUUCCUGUGCCUGCCCCAGGGGACACAUUCCAGGUGUUGUGGCCAAGCUAUCCACUCAUGACUGAUCCCUGAACCAAAUCCUAUCACCUGGUCCACGUCCUUCUGACCAACUCUUAAAAGUUCUGGCUGGUGGUUUUUAUAUCCCUUCUCCUACUUAUUUCUCUGGUGCUCCCAUUGGAUUUGACCUUAGCUGACUCAAAAAGCCUUGGUCAAAUCACCUUUCCUAUUUUGGCCUGUCUCUUUCCACCCCUACCCUGAACUGAAGGGCUGCUUUCUUUCCCACCAGGCCUGCCUUGACCUUGCUGAGAAGACUUAGACCCACAGAACUAUCCAGGGCCCACUCACUCCUCCUGUCAGAAUAAGAAAAUAUUGGAAUCAACCGCGCUAGGUUCAGCAUGAGGUAUGACAAUCCCAGCGAUUUCCAGAACCAUUGUCUGGGCUCUUCUACCUCUGGAGUUGAGUUCAGCACAAAGGCAGGGAAACACUCAGCUGGACUGGUGAUUUCCCAGGGAUGCUCUGAGAAAGUAGCUGCUUUAGUAAGUAGCAUCUGUAGACUGAAGCUUUUCCUACUUGGCAGCCCAUAUCUGCCCUGUCAGCUGUCACCAUUUCCAUAGCACUGAUUAUGGAAUGACUGAUGAUACUGUGGCUGCAGCCACUCCCAACUCACAAUUAAGUCAUAGCAGCUCAGCAUUUUCACUUUUAAAUUACUUACCAUUCUGAGGUAGGUAUUGGAGCCAGGUAGGCCUGAGUUUGAAUACCAGCCAUACCUACUCAACCCCAUCUUCUCUGAGUCUCAAUUUUCUCAGCCAUGAAAUAACUGUUAUACCUCCAUAACUGUUAUACCUCCCUCACAGAUAAGCCACAUAAAAACAUCUAGCCUACUGACAAUGUUAAUUCUGAUUCCAUCCUGAGGCAGAAUCUCCAAGAUCCUAAAGAUCUGUUUCACCUAUGAGUCCUUUGUACUCAGUUGUAAUUCUCCCUUGCCCUUAAGUCAGGAGAAGGUGGUAACCUCAGUCAGACUUGGGACUCUGACUGGACAAGCUUCUGGAAAGGAAUAGUGUUAGGGUGGGCGUAACACUAAAGGAAAUGCUUACUCCCUGGCUUUUAAACCUCAGUGGGCAUGACAAUCAUUUAGGGAGUUUACAGAAAAUACAGAUAAAGACGUGGGGUUAAGGAUCUGGCAUUGUCACUGCAGUGGCUCAGGUUACUGCUGUGGUGCAAGUUCAGUCCCUGGCCUGGGAACUUCCACAUGCUGCAGGCAUAGCCAAAAACAAAAAACAAACAAACAAAAAAAAAAUACAGAUACCCAAGCCCUUCCCUCAGUGACUGAGAGUCACUAAGUCACUGAGAGUCAGAUUCAGCAACCUAUAUUUUAAAUGUUUCCCAGAAUAUUCUAAUAUGCAUCUACGUUUGAGAAUUACUGCCCUAUCUGGAAGUUUCUCUCUUCUUUUAUCUCUGACCUAGUUAUUCUGGUAGAGUGGGUGGUGGGGCCCAGUUGAGGGCUAGGUUAUAAUUAAAAAAUAUUUGGUCUUUGUCUCCAGUUCCUGGCUCAAAGCUCCCAAAUCCUUGGAACUUCUUGAGUGAUAAGAUAAGCCUUGGGGUGGGGGAAGAUGUUGGGGGAGACCUACACUAGAUAGCUUCAGGAUGGGACUGAGCGGAGAAAAACCAACCUAGUGAUUAAAGGACUAGACUUUCAGCUCUAUCCCUUGAUCUCCUCAGGGAGGGGAGAAGGGUGGAUUCUGAAUUCAGCUACCAAGGGCCAGUAAUAAUCAUGCCUAAGUCCUAAAAAACAAAUUCCAUGAGUUUCCAGGUUGGUGAACACAUUCAAGUGCUGGGAAAAUGGAACACUAGCAGAGAACUUGGAAGCUCUGUACCAAUCCCACUCCCACCUUCGUCCCCUAUAACUUGCUCUGUCAUCUGUAGGGGAGCAAAAUUUGCCACUACAAAAUAUCUCUUUGGCUUAUAGGUUAUUUUGAACUGAAAACUAUCAAGGCCCAAAAGACUCAGAAGAACCUUUGACCUUCCCCCUAGCUACCUAAGGAAUGUAGAUAGAGAACAAUUCCAGCAAGAGAAGUAUCGCCCUAGGUAACUAUAGUAUGAACUAGGUAUGAUUGAUAGGGAGGAAUCUAGCAAUGACUUCUUGUUAAAAUUCCUCUUUCUGGAGUUCCCGUCGUGGCGCAGUGGUUAACGAAUCCGACUAGGAACCAUGAGGUUGCGGGUUCGGUCCCUCCCCUUGCUCAGUGGGUUAACGAUCCGGUGUUGCCAUGAGCUGUGGUGUAGGUUGCAGACUCGGCUCGGAUCCAGCGUUGCUGUGGCUCUGGCGUAGGCUGGUGGCUACAGCUCCGAUUCGACCCCUAGCCUGGGAACCUCCAUAUGCCGAGGGAGCGGCCCAAGAAAUGGCGAAAAGACAAAAAAAAUAAAUAAAUAAAUAAAAAUAAUUAAAAAAAAAUUCCUCUUUCUGUCUCAUUGUCUUGGCAUGGCCCAGCAAACAUUUGUUUACUAACAAACAUUUGCUUUCCCAUCUCAUGUCAAUUGCCUUCCUCCCCUUUAAAGUGCCAAACCACUACCCCCAACAUCCUCUUUUGUCUUUGACCAAAGAUGGUAUUUAAGUGAGGGCUUCCGUCAUUUUGGUGAGUUACUCAGUUUCCCUGGGACUCUCCUAUGUAUACAUGUUAUUAAACUUUUGUUUGAUUUUCUCCUGUUAAUCUGUCUCAUUUCAAUUUAAUUCUUAGCUCAACCAGAAGAAUCUAGAAGUGUAGAGGAAAUUUUUUUCUUCUAUGACACUUCUCUUCUGUUUGGCUGAUCCUGAGUUAUAUCCUUUAUAAUGAAGUGGUAAACAUAAGUAAUGUAAUUUUGUGAGUUCUUUGAGUCAUUCUACAAUAUUACAAAAGCUGAGGAGAGCUCAUGGGAGUUCCCAAAUGUGUAGUCAGUCAGGCAGAAGAAUGGGUAGCCAAGGUAUCCCAUUUUCAGCUGAUCUGUGCUGAAAUGUGAGACUGAGCCCUUUAACUAAUGGGAUCUGACCCUACCUCUAGGUAUAUAGUGUCAGAAAUGAAUUGAAUUGUUGGGCAUCCAAUUAGUAUCAUAGUAUUGGUUGGUUAUGUGGAAAAACAACACACAGUGUCAGAAGUGGUAACAGAAAAAACCACUACACAGGUGCCUAACAUAUUCUGUCUCUCCCUGACCUCACCCAGCCCUUGUAUAACCACACUUCUUUAUAGAAUGUGGUUGAGCCCAGAAGAAACAGCCAAUUUCUCUACAAUUCUCUGACCUAAAUUCAGUGUUAACUUUUUGAGGAGGAAUAGCUGUGGAGCUAAAAUUUUUUCUCUUCAAGCCUACUCAAAAGGAGGGCAGAAUUUGCCUACAGGCUUCUGAUGCACUGCUCACCCAGAGGGCAGCCUCCGAGUCAGCAAGCAAAAGGCCUGCUCUACAAUAAGGUGAAAGCUCAUUUGCUGGAAUCAUUUAUGGACCAGCUGACUGCUUUGACUCUGGCUGGACCCCGCCUGAGCUAGUCACCUUUUGAGCCUAGUCAUCUAGUGUCUGCCAGACCCCUUCCAUCUAACUAGAUUCUCUUCCCCAUUCCUCUUGGCUAUUUAUCAGUGGUCAAGCCUUUCCUCCUGCCCCAAAGUUGCUGCAAUAAACUUAGUCAUUUCCACUAGCAUGUGCCCCAGGGGUCUAGGUAAAGUCUUCUCUGAUAAGCCUUCCUAUGCUGGCCUCACAUCUGAAGUUCCAGCUGUGGCUGCUGUCCUCAUGUUUGUUGUUAAAAUGCUAUCCCCUCCCUUCCAUGCCUCCUCACUCCUUCUUCCUAGAGAAACCACACAAGUUCAUCAAUUAGUAUGACUCAUCUUGGUAUACUUGCUGGAGUACCUGAAACCAUUGCAAAGAGGCCUCAUUCUUAAUCUUUCUUAAAAUAUGUGAUGAUAUUUGACAGAGAUUUCUUAUUCACUACAAAGUUAACCUGGUAAAUGAUUGUCUCACACAUCUUCAGGUAGAAAGACACAGUCAGUUUGGUAAGAGAUGGCACAAAAUCAAGGGACAUGAACUGGCCAAGUGCUUCUACUUUGAGCAGAGGCUCAAGUCUUCCAUGAAGGAGAAUCUUCCCCAGGACUAGAGAACUAUACUGUAGAGCUGCCAGUAACUAAUGGAGAGUACCUACCAGCUACAGGGUCAUCCCAGGGACCUCACCUGGGUACAACCUGGUAUAGUGCCCCAGGCAACUCCCAGUCACUAGGCCUAGCAAGUUCCUUACUGUAACUAUAAUGGAUCAACACUAACUCUUGGAAAUCCCUCCCUCCAAAUGUGGUUUAGUCUCCUCUUCCCUGACAGAAAUAGUCCCUGUCCUGGCCUGACUGAUUUGGUGGUCUCCAUAUCUGUUAUGGAAGCCGCUUAUGUGAGGGUUGGGGGGAAAUCCUGUGGGGCUUGGGCUCUUCCUCAGUUGACAAACCCAUUACUAUCAAAAUGAUUCCCACCCCACACCAUCCACCUUCUGGGCAUAAUAAUCUUCUCCAACUAGAGCUUGUCCAGACCUUGACACUUUGAUCCUUGGAGUCUCCAGCACCACACUCACAAGUGCACCAUCAUCUGGAGUAAAAUCCCUGUCUUCUUCCAGAUCCCUGCAAAUCAUAUGAGGCCUUUUAGUUCUCACUUUGGACAGUGCCUAUAGAGUAUUUGAUACCUGUAGUCCCAUCCCAGGUGUGUACUCAUAGAUAUCUGGCUGUGAUCAGUUCAUACCAAAGGCACAGGCUCAAAUUCUCAUUAUAUACAAAUGAUGGGAGGAACAAUGGCUAUUAGCAGCCCUCUCAGGACCCUGGAAAACAUAUAUUUAAAUGCCAUCAACUUUUAAGGAAUAGCGGCAGAGUGCUACUUAUUCUCCAAUGUCUUCUCCUUUAUACAACACUAAUAGACUCCCUAGAAUAAAGAUUAUAUAUUUUCCAUCCUACCCUGAAAUUUGAUAGGAUUAUGGGAUAUGAAGAGAAGUAAAGUAUAGAACUUUUAGGAUGUGUCCUUAAAGGGAGGGGGACUGCCCUUUCUGCAACAUUCCCUCUCCCUGACUCCUCUGCUCCACCAUACUCCUCUAGAUGUAGACGUGGUGACAUACCUCCUUGGCCAAGUGGCCACACCCUACAAGCAACAAGUUAGAGGGAGUCUAGGUCCCGGAAGACCACAUUGAGCAGAACAGCCAUCCUAACCUUGGACCACCUGUUGAGAUAAGCAAUGGUGUGAGCCUGAGCAUCCCUGAACAUCCCUUUUGGAUAUGCCAAGAAUGCAAGACCUUGACCGCUCUUUAGCCUACUGUUUCUGAGUUGACUUUGCAGUGGGCAGUUUGCAAGGGAUAAAAUAACAUUUUCUCCCAAAGAGCAGUCUUACUUACUACUCACUAUGAAAGUGGUAGAUUCCAGUUAAAAUACAAACUCAAUAUAGGUAGAGUAUCCACCUUAGUCCCUCCAUGUUGCCUCCAUAGGUCUUAAGGGGAAUGGGGAACUAGCAACAACAUAUCCAUGUUGCUUGCUGUGCAGUGAGUAAUACAAUCUUUUGUGCAGACUCUGGAAUCUUGUAUCUUUUGCCAGCAUCCAUGAAACAGUAAUUUAUUAGCUUGCAAGUAGAGUAAAACCACAGAAUUUCACAUACAAACCACUGGAUUGUUUUUAGGAAAGAAAUCAACUUGUAUCUCUAUUGAACCACUGUUACUUUGAAUCUUUGUUACAGUGAGCCGAAUCUAAUCCUAACUAAUGAAAGAGUAAUUUUUCAAAGUUCUGAUUUGAAAGAAAAAAAAUACUACAUAUUGUCAGAAAUUGAUCUUUCAAGCUGAGCAAGUUAUGAUCAAUUCAAAAGCAAGAAAUUAUAAAAGUGUUGGGACCUUUUGAACAAGUGGCAUUGAAUAUAGGAAUCAAGAGCACACUGUGGAGUUCCCUUCGUGGCUUAGCAGCUAACGAACCUGACUAGGAUCCAUGAAGAUUCAGGUACCAUCCCUGGCCUUGCUCAGUGUGUUAAGGAUCUGGUGUUUCUGUGAACUGUGGUGUAGGUCACAGACUCGGCUCGGAUCCUGUGUUGCUGUUGCUGUGGCAUAGGCCAGCAGCUGUAGCUCCAAUUCAACCCCUAGCCUGGAACCUCCCAAUGCCUCUGGUGUGGCCCUAAAAAGCAAAAAAAAAAAAAAAAAAAAAAA
rnacentral:lncRNA from 1 species